rnacentral:rRNA from 1 species
GACGAACGCUGGCGGCGUGCUUAACACAUGCAAGUCGAACGGAAAGGCCCUGCUUUUGUGGGUUGCUCGAUUGGCGAACGGGUGAGUAACACGUGAGUAACCUGCCCUUGACUUUGGGAUAACUUCAGGAAACUGGGGCUAAUACCGGGUAGGAGCUCCUGCUGCAUGGUGGGGGUUGGAAAGUUUCGGCGGUUGGGGAUGGACUCGCGGCUUAUCAGCUUGUUGGUGGGGUAGUGGCUUACCAAGGUUUUGACGGGUAGCCGGCCUGAGAGGGUUACCGGCCACAUUGGGACUGAGAUACGGCCCAGAAUGCUACGGGCGGCAGCAGUGGGGAAUAUUGCACAAUGGGCGGAAGCCUGAUGCAGCAACGCCGCGUGCGGGAUGAUGGCCUUCGGGUUGUAAACCGCUUUCGCAUGUGCCGAAGAGUGCGUGACGGUAAUGGGUAAAGAAGCAACGGCUAACUACGUG